CAUUAUUUAAAAUUAAAAAAAUCCGUUAUUUUCCUAGCACUUUUUAUUUAAAAUACAGUGUUCACCAGCAUUUUAAACAUUGUUCAGCACUUGAAGUACUUCGGCCACCGUUAACAUUCUUCAGCACAUUCCGACCACUUUUGAAUGCCGUAAGUGCAUUUUGAAAAUUUGAAAAUGUUUGGACCAACUGAACGCACGUUGAAGACAACUUACCUGUCUCUUUCUCGCACUGGCCUAGAAAUUCUUUGAGUUUUUUCUCGGAACGUCCGGCAACACCCCAUUUUAGCUGCAGCUUUUUUGAAAAUUUUUCAAUCAAGGGGAGACAGUGUUUUCCGGUAAAACCGGUCGCUCCGAAGAUUAUCACGUCCAGGUCUCGGCUCAUUCUCGACUGGAAAAGCGUGGAAAAUGCUAUUUUCGGAGCGUGAAGCAAUUUAUGCGCUGUUAAAGCACGUAAAUAUUUAGGACAUAAAAUAGGUCGAAUUGUGAGCCGGAUUAAGGGAUAGACUAGUUUUGCAGACAUAAAAAUUGUUAUCUUAUCUUACCAUUGCUUGCAAACGAAUGAUUUGAUUUAAAAAAACAAAUAAUCGAAAGGUUGGUAAAUUUAGAACACGGCACGAAUCAAUCCAGUUGUGUAAUAGUGAUACGAAAAUAGACGUGUAAUGUAUACAAGUAUCAUUGAUAAAAA